rnacentral:misc_RNA from 1 species
GAUGAAGAACGUAGCGAAAUGCGAUAAUUAAUGUGAAUUGCAGAAUUCCGUGAAUCAUCGAGUCUUUGAACGCACAUUGCGCCUCAUGGCAUUCCGUGAGGCAUGCCCAUCUCAGCGUUAGAAAAUAUUCUCAAAUUUUAGUUUUGUGCUAAAAUUUGGAUCAUGUCAAGGAAGCUAUUACUAUUAUUGUGAUCGCUCUUUGGAAAUUGAUAGGUAUUUGAGUUGCUACUCAUAGAACGUGAUGAAUCUUUCUUCGUUCUAUUGUAAUUCACUCUGGUAGUCCUAAAACUUGUAUGCCUGUGGCAUAUCUUGUAAUUUGACCUGAGAUUGGGUAGGGAUACCCGCUGAACUUAAGCAUAUCAAUAAGCGGAGGA